GUCCCUCUUGCUCCAGCUCUUCCUCAGAGCCACGCGUUUGCACCCAGCCGGCUGCUUCUGCUGACGCUGGAAACACUCUCGGCUAUACCGAGCAUGCCGCUUGUGUUUCAGCACAGCCGAACAAGGCUGGCAGGGGCCCCUGGACGCCUGGCCUUGCCCCAGGACGGGCAGUGGUGGCAGCCCAUCACCUCCCAAGGGCAAGGGGACAGAGGCGCAGCUCACCGAGGCAUCUGCACGUUCACGCCGCUCCGCCUGCGCGAGCUCAGCUGCACCGGGAGGAAAACCAGAGCGCGCCAGAGCCCUGCCUGACAAGCGUUAGAAAAAUUACAAAGCUGCACAGAAAAGCAUCUAACUGCUGCACUUUCCUGAGAGAUAAGGGCCCAGGGGCGGCACUCCUGGGCCGGGAGGAUGAGCGCUUGCGAGCUUCCAGGCAGGCGGAAAGCAGGGACCCGCUGAAAGCCUGGCCACGGAAACCGGCUCCGAUGGGUCCAACAACAGCCCAGAAUCCCUUUCCGCUGCCUACGCCGAGAUGUACGGUACGCGCCUUUAGCGGUUUAGCAGCUGUGAGUCCUGCCUGUCCUCCGCGACAGCCACGAGUCCAACUGCACAACAGGGCUUGGAACAAGAAACAAUUAUAAUCGGGAAGUCAGCAGAGUGCGGUAUCACCCAUCUUUUUAUGGAAUAAAAGCCCU